rnacentral:lncRNA from 12 species
UAAAAUAAAAACACAUCCUCAGGGAGCAAGAGCUCUGGCACAAGAUCUGUCCUGGGGCAAUCAACUGCAUAAAUGUAGCUAAACAUGUGCCAUCUGUGAAGGAAUUUGUCCAGCAAAAUCAGCAGCAUUUCUCUUACAAAACAUGCAAUUGCUUCAGGACGUGCUUCGGUGCAGGGCCUCUAGCUUGAUGAAGUGCUGCUGGAAAUGCUACCAGAUUUCCAUUCAGAUAUGACUCUAGGACACCAAAAUGUGGACACAGCAAAUUUUUGAGACAGCCAAAGUGGGGAAGUUCAAACUCUUCAAACCAG